rnacentral:rRNA from 1 species
UACGUAGGGGGCAAGCGUUGUCCGGAUUUAUUGGGCGUAAAAGGCUUGUAGGUGGCCACGCCAAGUCGGAUGUGAAAUCUCCCGGCUCAACUGGGAGGGGUCAUUCGAUACUGGCGGGCUCGAGGCCGGUAGGGGGAAGUGGAAUUCCGGGUGUAGCGGUGGAAUGCGUAGAGAUCCGGAGGAACACCAGUGGCGAAGGCGACACGCUGGGCCGUACCUGACGCUGAUACGCGACAGCAUGGGGAGCGAACGGG